rnacentral:rRNA from 1 species
UACGUAGGGUGCGAGCGUUGUCCGGAAUUACUGGGCGUAAAGAGCUCGUAGGUGGUUUGUCGCGUUGUUCGUGAAAACUCACAACUCAAUUGUGGGCGUGCGGGCGAUACGGGCAGACUGGAGUACUGCAGGGGAGACUGGAAUUCCUGGUGUAGCGGUGGAAUGCGCAGAUAUCAGGAGGAACACCGGUGGCGAUGGCGGGUCUCUGGGCCGUAACUGACGCUGAGGAGCGAAAGCGUGGGGAGCGAACAGG